rnacentral:rRNA from 1 species
CCUACGGGAGACUGCAGUGGGGAAUAUUGGACAAUGGGCGAAAGCCUGAUCCAGCCAUGCCGCGUGUGUGAAGAAGGCCUUCGGGUUGUAAAGCACUUUCAGUGGGGAAGAAAGCCUUGGGGCUAAUACCCUCGAGGAAGGACAUCACCCACAGAAGAAGCACCGGCUAACUCCGUGCCAGCAGCCGCGGUAAUACGGAGGGUGCGAGCGUUAAUCGGAAUUACUGGGCGUAAAGCGCGCGUAUGCGGUCUGAUAAGCCGGUUGUGAAAGCCCCGGGCUCAACCUGGGAACGGCAUCCGGAACUGUCAGGCUAGAGUGCAGGAGAGGAAGGUAGAAUUCCCGGUGUAGCGGUGAACUGCGUAGAGAUCGGGAGGAAUACCAGUGGCGAAGGCGGCCUUCUGGACUGACACUGACGCUGAGGUGCGAAAGCGUGGGUAGCAAACAGGAUUAGAUACCCCUGUAGUC